UCAAGCGCGAGAGUAAGAACUAUUCAAGAAGUCACAGUACCUUAGCAAAACUUUGCUAUCAGGUGGGCAAUUUCUUACGCGUAAAUAAAAUGCUAUGCAUGUGUUAUGCUUUUAAAUACAAAUUGGAUCUUCAAGUGUGGUAUGCUUUAUUACGCUUAAAUGAGUUAAGCUUUAUUAUGCUGCACGUUAAAUGAUUUACGCUAUGCUGUUUAUACUAUUUACGCCCUAUGUAAUUUACGCUUGAUUACGCUUAUUUACGCUUGAAUGCUUUACGCUGAUAAGUUUAUGCUUAUGUUUGAUGCUUGCGUAUGUUGGGGGAGGCCUCCCUCAACAGUACGAUGCCGUGUCCGCUGAGGAGGGCCUUCCUCACGGCGCGAUGCCCGUGUCCGCUGAGAGAGGCCUCUCUCGCGGCACGAUGCCAGUAUGCCAGUAUGCCAGUGUUACAGUGUCUAUUGGGGGAGGCCUCCCUCAAUAGUACGAUGCCGUGACCGCUGAGGGAGGCCCCCUUCACGGCGCGAUGCCCGUGUUCGUUGGAAAAGGCCUUCUCCACGACACGAUGCGUGUUUAUGAUUGUUAAUGACGAAGAAUGCCCUUAUGCUAUUUAUGAAUUUGGAAAUGUUUAAUGAGCAAAGGAUAUGAAAGAAACUCAUGCCUCUUAUGCGAUAUUGUGAAAUUGUUAAUGAUGUUAUGUUAUAUGCUUGGCAACUGCCCACUAAGUACUCUUGUACUUAGCCCUUCGAUGUUUAUGUUUGUGCAGGUUGAGCUGUGAUGGGCGAUGAAGUGUUGUUGCUGAGUGGAGUUUUUGUUGAACUUAAAGUAGGCUCAGAAAGGAUACAUGUCUUCAUACAUGUAUCUCAGUUAUGUAUUCCGCUGUAAACACUGAUUAUUUCAGUUACGCCUUCCGUUGCAAACUCUGAUAAUAUUUUAGCCAAGCCCCUAACGAUGCCUUUUCCUUUUAAGGAAUAUUUCACGCGUAUCCAAGCUCUUUGAGUAUUCUUUUAUGCACCCCUUUCUAAACCCGCUUCUUAAUUUCCCUUCCCCAGUCAUGGUUUUCCCGGAUUAAUUAUCUUUAAUUAAGGCCGGUCGUGACAGAGUGGUAUCAGAGCAGUUCGUUUGCUCUGAGCCUAAGAGUUUAUUUAAGCCAAACUUAGAAUGGAUCACUAAAGUGUCUAGAGUUCAAUCGACAAAGCUCAGCACUUCAUCGCAUCACACUCAACGAAGCAGAAUGGU
rnacentral:lncRNA from 1 species